AUUGAACGCUGGCGGCAUGCUUUACACAUGCAAGUCGAACGGCAGCGCGGGCUUCGGCCUGGCGGCGAGUGGCGCACGGGUGAGUAAUGCAUCGGAACGUGCCCAGUAGUGGGGGAUAGCCCGGCGAAAGCCGGAUUAAUACCGCAUACGACCUGAGGGUGGAAGCGGGGGAGCGAAAGGCCUCGCGCUAUUGGAGCGGCCGAUGUCGGAUUAGCUAGUUGGUGGGGUAAAGGCUUACCAAGGCGACGAUCCGUAGCUGGUCUGAGAGGACGACCAGCCACACUGGGACUGGGACGCGGCCCAGACUCCUGCGGGAGGCAGCAGUGGGGAAUUUUGGACAAUGGGGGCGAACCUGGUCCAGCCAUGCCGCGUGCGGGAAGAAGGCCUUCGGGUUGGAAACCGCGUUUGUUCGGGAAGAAAUCCUCUGGGCUAAUACCCAGGGGGGAUGACGGUACCGGAAGAAGAAGCACCGGCUAACUACGUG
rnacentral:rRNA from 1 species